AGUAUGUAAAACAAGUUAUGCAAUAAUGGAAGUUUUAAAAAACCUUCAAGUUAUAUCGGCGUUACCUACGCAGAGGAAUUGCAAUUGUUUUUCUCCACGUCACCAAAGCCGUCAAAAGCAAAAUACAUUUUGAAAUUACUAAAUAAUCCAUUUUUUUAAAUUAAACAAUAGCAAAAAAUUCCUUUAAAUUUUAAACCCCCUGAUUUAAAUCAAACACUUGAAUUUAAAGACCAGAAGGGAUCUUGGAGUUCACUGUAAAGGAAAUCUUAUCAAAGAAGGAAAUAAAAUGUUCAAGUCGAUGGCGUCUCUUUUUCUGGCACUGCUGAUCUUAUCAGUUUCAACCUCGGCCCUCCCAAGCCCCCAACUUCCCGGAGGAAUGAAUCCUGCCGACCCUAAGGGAACCAUGAAAACGGCCGCUGGCAUGUUCCAGCCAGUACCUGGAGCUGCAGUCCCAAUAGGCGCAUUCAACACUGGUGUCGACGCCGUCCCCAUUCCAGGAAAAUAGUCGUCCUUGUGUAAUCUGGAUGAAGACUCAAAACCAAUCUCAAGAUGAUGGACGCCUCAUAAUAUCAUAAUUUGACCUACAUUUUAUUUAAAUUAAUAACAUUAUAUGAUCAAAAAAAUUGUCCAUAAAAAUUUUCAUUCCAUUUUCACCACUUACAUAAUUGAGUCUACUCUCUACACGGAGAAAUGUUCACCAAUUAUAUAUUUUUUCAAUUAUUAAUGAUGAUUGAUGACGUGUAUAAAAAUGUUUAAUAUUAAAUACACUAAAGUUUGAGUUGAGCUUAUUUUUUAAUAAUACUCAUAUCACGAUCAACCUGCAACAUGUUUGUUUAGUAUUUCGAUACCACAUUAUGAAAGAAUUGUCCAUUUUGUUCCCUAACAAGAAUAGUUUUUGAGAGAAUUUUCAAAUUACA